rnacentral:sRNA from 1 species
AGUUUUACCUUUGCGGGAACAGUGGAUGCUUAUCAGUGUCUUUGAUUCGGAACUUCGUGGAUUUUGUAGUUGUUUUAGAGAAAUGGGGUCUUGCUAUGUGGCCCAGGCUGGUCUCAACCUCAUGCGUUCAAGUGAUCCUCCUGCCUCAGCCUCCCAAAUAGCUCGGAUUGUAGGUGUGAGCCACUUGGCACAGCUGUAGAACUUUAUGUUUAAAUGUUAUGUAAAAAGUCUAAAUCUGACCAGCCGUAGGAACUUGGCUGAAGUAAAUUGUGAUAUGUUCACACAGCGCAAAACGGUGUAGCUACAGAAAAAGCCACAGAAAUGUAUCUGUGGAAAGAUGUUUGGUUGUUUUGGGUUUUUUGUUUGUUUGUUUGUUUUUUGAGACAGGGUCUCACUCUGCUGCCCAGUGGUGCGAUGAUAACUCACUGCAGCCUGAACUUCAUGUGCUCCAGCGACCCUCCCACCUCAGCCUCCCAAGUAGCUGGACUAUAGGCGCUCGCCACCAAGCCCAGUUAAUUUUUUUUUUUUUUAGUAGAGUCAGGAUCCAGGCUGGUCUUGUAUUUUUAUUUUAGUAGAGACUAUGUCGCCCAGGCUGGUCUUGAACUCCUGGGCUCAAGUGUCCUCCUGCCUUGGCCUCCCUAAGUGCUGGGAUUACAAGCGUGCGCCACCACACCUGGCACCUGCUUCACGUCAGGCCCUGUGCAAGGUGCCAGGAGCACAGCCAUGCACGAUGGACGUGGCUGCUGAUUUUGCAAUCUCAGAUCCCAGGAGAGACUCACACAUCAGUGCACAGCGUCAUCCCAUCUUUGAGUCUCUACUGGGCCUGCCUUGUCUGAGGAUUAACGGCCACCUUCUUUGUCUGUGUUUUUAGGGUAUUUCUCAAGCUGCCAGAUACGUUUACCGACGACUCAUCAACGACGGGAUUUUGAGCCAAGCCUUCAGCAUUGCUCCUGAGUACCGGCUGGUCAUAGUGGGCCACAGCCUUGGGGGCGGGGCGGCCGCCCUGCUGGCCACCAUGCUCAGAGCCGCCUACCCGCAGGUCAGGUGCUACGCCUUCUCCCCACCCCGGGGGCUGUGGAGCAAAGCUCUGCAUGAAUAUUCUCAGAGCUUCAUCGUGUCACUCGUCCUGGGGAAGGAUGUGAUUCCCAGGCUCAGUGUGACCAACUUGGAAGAUCUGAAGAGAAGAAUCUUGCGAGUGGUCGCGCACUGCAAUAAACCCAAGUACAAGAUCUUGCUGCACGGUUUGUGGUACGAACUGUUUGGAGGAAACCCCAACAACUUUCCCACGGAGCUGGACGGGGGCGACCAGGAAGUCCUGACACAGCCUCUUCUGGGGGAGCAGAGCCUACUGACGCGCUGGUCCCCGGCCUACAGCUUCUCCAGCGACUCCCCACUGGACUCUUCUCCCAAGUACCCCCCUCUCUACCCUCCCGGCAGGAUCAUCCACCUGCAGGAGGAGGGCGCCUCGGGGCGGUUUGGCUGCUGCUCUGCUGCUCACUAUAGCGCCAAGUGGUCACACGAAGCGGAAUUCAGCAAAAUACUCAUAGGUCCGAAGAUGCUCACAGACCACAUGCCAGACAUCCUGAUGCGGGCCUUGGACAGCGUGGUCUCCGACAGAGCGGCCUGCGUCUCCUGUCCAGCACAAGGGGUCUCCGGUGUGGACGUGGCCUGACCAGGGCCACUGGAAGCUGUCCCAGGAACGAUGGACUCACGCUUUUGUCCUUAAACUGACUUACCAUCCGAGGAGUUCCCAUGACGCCAAAACAGCGAAUGUCCAUCAACAGGAAUCCGAUGGGAACAGAAUUCCAUGGUCUCAAUGACUAAGUUUAUGGGAAGUCAUUGUGGCCAUAAUCGUAGCAGAAGCAGCCAGCACGCUCAGGUGAUAGGACGACUCCUGAGACCCAGCGACCGUGGAGACAGCCUCGGGAAGCCCUGGCCCGCGGAUGGAUCCCUUGGCUGUCUGAGGACCGCUCCAGAAGUGGGGAAUCCAGGACCCACCCAGGAGACCGUGAACAGUUCCUUAGCCUCCCACCCCCAAGGCAGCCCUUUUCAUCCAACUCGGUUUACAGGCGUGGUUUGUUUUUCAAACUGGGCUUCCUGGAUGUACAAAUGGAACUGUGGUGAGGGUGCGGGCUGGGGUUUUCUCCUGGGCGUCACCAAGGGCAGCCCUGGGCGCUGGCUGGGGAUGAAGACGAAACCCGAUUGGGGAAGUGAGUGGAGCCCCCGGCCCCGCCGAGCCGCAGCCCCCCAACUGCCUAUUCCCACUGCCCAGUUGUUUGUCCACCUCAAGAGUUGCUGAUUGAAUUCUUGCUACUCUUCUGGCUCUCGGGUCGGCCAGUGGAUUCAGGAGUUGAAACAAUAAAGCGCGCGUCACGAU